rnacentral:lncRNA from 1 species
GGUAGAUCUGUUGACAUCGCCAUGGCAACUGUAAACGCUCUCCUCUCUCGAAACUACAGUUUCUCAGCUCCCAAUUAAUUUGGUGAAAAAUGUUCUCUCUGUGUUUCUGUGAUGUUGUCGCUACGUCCCCAGGCAGUGUUGGCUGGUUGUCAGUUUUUAUGAGCCGCGAUAAUGAAAGAAAUGGACACGUCAUUGUCCUCUACUUUGGGUUCUGAGAGACUGGAGAAACUACAGCUCAUCGCCCUACACACAACCCAGCUCUGUACAUGCAUGUACACACACACACACGUACAAUCUUAACCUCACCCACGCCCUACCCCCAUCCCUCACCAGAUCUUGUUAUGCAGCCUUCCAUUGAACAUGUCUUGACAAAUCUCCAAUCUACACUACUGAAGCUGAUAUGCAAUGCCCUCAUCCCAGCCGGCCUUCACCGGUCCUGACUUGGCAGCGGCUCGACAUGCCCCGACACGUCCCCAGCCAACCACACUCCCGGUCAACCAGAAAUGGACCUCCCUUGACUUGACUAUAAAUAGGUUAUAGAAGAACAG